CUCAGUUCAUCUUCUCACAAUGAGGCUCCCUGUUCAGCUCCUGGGACUGUUGAUGCUCUGGGUCCCUGGAUCCAGUGGAGACGUUGUGAUGACCCAGACUCCACUCUCCCUGCCUGUCACCCCUGGAGAGCCAGCCUCUAUCUCCUGCAGGUCUAGUCAGAGCAUUCUGCAUAGUAAUGGAAACACCUAUUUGAAUUGGUACCUGCAGAAGCCAGGCCAGUCUCCACGGCUCCUGAUCUAUAAAGUUACCAAUCGGGAAUCUGGGGUCCCAGACAGGUUCAGUGGCAGUGGGUCAGGCACAGAUUUCACACUGAAAAUCAGCAGGGUGGAGCCUGAGGAUGUUGGUGUUUACUACUGCAUGCAAGGUACAAAGCUCCCUCACAGUGGUACAGCCCCGAACACAAACCUCUCUGCUGGGUGGCCCAGCUGCCCACAUGUGUUGUUUGUCGGGGGAGCAGGCACCAUAGAGGGCAAGACAGUAAAGAAUUCAGGGGGAUGAGUUGCAGGAAGCUGCUCCUGUGAGUCCUGGGGCUACACCUCAGGCCAAAUCUACAGGAGAAUGGUGGGGUCCAAGUGCUCACUGAGCAACCAGACAUGAUAAUGGAGAAAACUGAAUGAAAGUUCAUCUAAAUCCUCCUAGCCUUUCCUACAUCUAUUUUUCAACUAAAAGGAUUCAGUGUAACGACUUUUAAUUAAGGCUACUUCAUGUCAACCUAAGACUGAUUUUUUUUUGGAUUUUCUUUUGUUUGAAUAGUUACUGGUUAUAGACGCAGCCGGGUUUGUUUAGUAACAUAAAAACUGUUUCUCUUCUUCCCCCCACCUUCACACUUCUACAUUUUCUUAGCAUAUGUCUCUCUCCAGCAAAGGGGCAGGCAUAGCAUUUUACACCAAGAUUUCAGGAAUUACCCAUGUCAAACAAUGUACAUUCCUGUUUUUGGGCUACUAGGUUGACUUUGUUAAAUUCACUUAAAAACAAAAGUCACGUGUCCAAUGUGUUUGACCAGUCUCAGGCACAGCAGGUUGAAAUAAAAGGUGAGGAUUUUGAAUUGCAAAUCAAGGGUUUUAGAAAUAAAUAUUCAAGUUUGGAAGAAUUAGGCAGCAUGCGUGUUUUAUGCCAUAUCCAGCAGAAUUUUGAAAAAAAUUAGAUAACGCAUGGCAAUUUUUUGCCUAAUACAAAAUAAGAAUAUUAAGAUUUUGGACAGCAGCAGUGAAAGCAAGCAUGAAGGACAUGUAGCAGAGGUCAUCUGUUGGUGCAAACCCAGCUCUGUUGCUCAUGUUUGCUGGGGUCCCUAUGCUGGUGUGGUUGGAGUUGAACUACUAACCAAGAUGGAAACUUGUAAGUAUUUCUUGGAAAGAAUCAGGGUGUUGAAUAGACCCCUGCGUGCCCUUCAAGGCUGUGCCCGGAUGCCACUGCAAGUUCAUAGAGUCGCUGUGCUUAUUGUGGGGUUCUAGGAAUUUAGUGACUCAAGGGUUACAGACGUUCCUGUGCAAAAGUGAGGUUGGGUCAUAUCACCUAAGGACCUAAGGUUAGGUCAUGUCACACCUUCCCAGUCAACCCAGCAAGACAUAGGUGAGCUUCCAAAAAUUGAUUUCACGUAUGUCCUAUAUCUGGGGAUGAAACGAGAGAGAAUGGUCAUUCGGGAGAUACCUUAUAUCAAAUUAGUUAAAAUGUUAGCCAGGGCUGAGCUAUGGCUGGGAAGAUCAGUAGGAGAUGCAUGGUAGGA